rnacentral:misc_RNA from 1 species
GGCAUCCUUCUAAUAAGCUUAAGUGCGUCAUCCAAUCGGCCAGCUCUGCAUAACAAGUCCACUACACAGCUGAAGUGCUCAUGUUCCGGUGUAACGCCAUAUAAAGAUUCCAUCUCAUCCAACAAACCUUGACCUUCUUUCUGAAGCCCUGAAUGUGCACAUGCUGCUAAAACUGCAAGAAUGACAACACCAUCAGGCUUAAGCCCAUCAGCCACCUGCAUCCUCUCCAAACAGCU